AAACGGACUCAACUCAUGAUAAAUCUCUAUCAGAUGCGCUUGUAAUUAGAGCCUAUUAAACACCAAACACGAGCAGAAACAAAGGAGUGAGAGCGCUUGUCCUGCAGUUUAUCCAGCUUUUCUCCUUUUGAGGAAAACUUUGUGACUGGAAAAAGUUAUGAGGUGUGAGUAAAUGAGUACAACAGGAAUUGGAUGCACAUCACUGAUUAAUCAACCCGAGACGCUGCUGGUUAUCAACCUAAUUUGAACUUGAGCUUUCUACUAAAAGGAAUGACUGUUUCAAGACUAAUCUAACUGCAAACAAAAUUCAUCUGUUCCAAUCUAUCAUGCUAUGAAUGAAAUCAACAGAUUGCAAAUCAAGAUUGUGACAACUUUAUUGAAAGUAAAAGCCAUUUUGAGAUGA